UACAGAGGAGCCAAGCGUUGUCCGGAUUGACUGGGCGUAAAGCGCACGCAGGCGGGUGUGCGCGGGGGGUGUGAAAUCUGGCCGCUUAACGGCCAGGCGCCAUCCCAUACGGCACGCCUGGAGUGAUGCAGAGGUCGAUGGAAUUGCCGGUGUAGUGGUGAAAUGCGUAGAGAUCGGCAGGAACACCCAGGGGGAAACCAGUCGACUGGGCAUCUACUGACGCUGAGGUGCGAGAGCGUGGGGAGCGAACCGG
rnacentral:rRNA from 1 species